rnacentral:rRNA from 1 species
UACGGGGGGGCAAGCGUUGUUCGGAAUUACUGGGCGUAAAGGGCGCGUAGGCGGUCAGACCAAGUCGAGUGUGAAAUUCCAGGGCUUAACUCUGGCGCGCUCGCUCGAUACUGGUCGGCUAGAGUGUGGAAGAGGAUGCUGGAAUUCCCGGUGUAGCGGUGAAAUGCGUAGAUAUCAGGAGGAACACCGGUGGCGAAGGCGGGUCUCUGGGCCGAUACUGACGCUGAGGAGCGAAAGCGUGGGGAGCGAACAGG